rnacentral:rRNA from 1 species
UAGGGAAUCUUCGGCAAUGGGGGGAACCCUGACCGAGCAACGCCGCGUGAGUGAAGAAGGUUUUCGGAUCGUAAAGCUCUGUUGUUAAGGAAGAACGAGUGUGAGAAUGGAAAGUUCAUGCUGUGACGGUACUUAACCAGAAAGCCACGGCUAACUACGUGCCAGCAGCCGCGGUAAUACGUAGGUGGCAAGCGUUGUCCGGAUUUAUUGGGCGUAAAGCGAGCGCAGGCGGUCAAUUAAGUCUGAUGUGAAAGCCCCCGGCUCAACCGGGGAGGGUCAUUGGAAACUGGUUGACUUGAGUGCAGAAGAGGAGAGUGGAAUUCCAUGUGUAGCGGUGAAAUGCGGAGAUAUAUGGAGGAACACCAGUGGCGAAGGGGACUCUCUGGUCUGUAACUGACGCUGAGGCUCGAAAGCGUGGGUAGCAAACAGG